CGUCCGACACCACGCUCCCCACAAGAGCCCCAAGAUAUAAUCAUACCUGUCAAUCACUAGCCGCAAGUUGAACAUUUUGGCCAGCCUUCCUCGUGCUUUCAAUUAUGACAUCGUUGCGAAUUUUUUUUUUUAAAUUGACAUGUGAAAAGAAUAAAGUGAUGGGAAGUUUAUUUUACGACCUAUCAGAACUUCUUGUGAUUCUAAUAAGAUUUUUCUUAGGCCGCAUUUCUUUCUAACAAGAAUUUUGUAAACGUUGUGUCGCGUGUGUUACUGUUUUCUAAACGAUACACGAGUAGAAACAAAUACAUCGUUUGAUAAAUCUUUAAUGACCCUGUUUGAAUUUUCAAUAAUGCAUGCACAUGUUGUUGGUAAUCAGACUUUUUUACAAACGUAGAAACAAAUACUUCGUUUAAUCAGGUUGAAGUUAGAAACAAAUGCAGCGUUUGUACUAACAAACGACAAACUGCAGACGCAUUUUUAGUGUUUGCAUAGUUUGUCAAAGUUUAUGUAAACUUUGCAAACGUAUGUGUUUGAAAAAAAUGAUCAAAACAUGUGCGAGCUUAGCCGUUUGCAUCGUUUGUGUUAGAAAGAAAUGCAUCUUUAAUGAGUCUGAAUCCGUAACCGUCAAAAUAGCAUGCUUUACAAAAAGAUCAGCCAAUUCAAACGUUUCUUUACACAAAGAUGAUUUUAAGUACGUCAUACAUUACAUGUAAAUUAAACAUUUAUUUAAGUAAAUUUUUUUCGUAUCUAUCUUUUUC
rnacentral:lncRNA from 1 species